CCUACGGGUGGCAGCAGUGGGGAAUAUUGGACAAUGGGCGAAAGCCUGAUCCAGCCAUGCCGCGUGUGUGAAGAAGGCCUUCGGGUUGUAAAGCACUUUCAGUGGGGAAGAAAGCCUUGGGGCUAAUACCCUCGAGGAAGGACAUCACCCACAGAAGAAGCACCGGCUAACUCCGUGCCAGCAGCCGCGGUAAUACGGAGGGUGCGAGCGUUAAUCGGAAUUACUGGGCGUAAAGCGCGCGUAGGCGGUCUGAUAAGCCGGUUGUGAAAGCCCCGGGCUCAACCUGGGAACGGCAUCCGGAACUGUCAGGCUAGAGUGCAGGAGAGGAAGGUAGAAUUCCCGGUGUAGCAGUGAAAUGCGUAGAGAUAGGGAGGAAUACCAGUGGCGAAGGCGGCCUUCUGGCCUGACACUGACGCUGAGGUGCGAAAGCGUGGGUAGCAAACAGGAUUAGAUACCCUAGUAGUC
rnacentral:rRNA from 1 species